CCUACGGGAGGCAGCAGUGGGGAAUGUUGCGCAAUGAUCGGAAGAGUGACGCAGCGACGCCGCGUGAAUGACGAAGGCCUUCGGGUCGUAAAGUUCUUGCGACAGGGAAGAAAAUGCCUAGAAGUAACGGUGUAUGUAUUGACGGUACCUGUAGAAGCAGCACCGGCUAACUCCGUGCCAGCAGCCGCGGUAAUACGGAGGGGGCGAGCGUGGUUCGGAGUGACGGGGCGUACAGCGCACGGAGGCGGUGUUGUAAGUCAUUAGUCAAAGACUAGCGCUCAACUUUAGUAAGGCUAGUGUUACUCUCAUACUAGAGUAUCAGAGAUGCUUGCCGUCUUCCUGGUGUAGCGGU
rnacentral:rRNA from 1 species